GCUUUCUUUGCCCCUUCGUUCUCUCCUGUCGAUUCUAGAGGGAGGGUCGACACGGCGGCCUCGUGCCCGUGGCUUCGUGCUUUGACACUCUUUCCUUUACACCUUCCUUGGUGUUUCUGGCUAUAAUACACUUCCGGAGAUUAUGGCCAACGUAAAGAGGACGCUUGAAAGCCAGACAUAUCUUGUUGUUUCUUGGCGUGCAUGGUAUCGUUAUUUUACCUUAUUGUGCUUUUUUUUGUCCUUGCCUGCGGGCUAUAACAUACUUCCACUUCAAGUAUUGUAAUAAUGAAAUGCAAAUCUUGUAUUUCGUGACGGUGGAGUUGUUGGGAAAGCAAAAAAAUUCUUCCGUUCAAAAAUUGAUGUUUA